GAUUAACGCUGGCGGCGUGCCUAACACAUGCAAGUCGAACGAGGUAGCAAUACCUAGUGGCAGACGGGUGAGUAACGCGUGGUCAACCUACCGUUGAGUGGGGGAUAACUAGCCGAAAGGUUAGCUAAUACCGCAUACGUCUCCGAGGGGCAUCCCUUGGCGAUAAAAGGAGCAAAUCCGCUCGAUGACGGGACCGCGUCCCAUUAGCUAGAUGGUGGGGUAAUGGCCUACCANGGCUCCGAUGGGUAGCUGGUUUGAGAGAGCGACCAGCCACACUGGGACUGAGAAACGGCCCAGACUCCUACGGGAGGCAGCAGUGAGGAAUUUUCCGCAAUGGCGAAAGCCUGACGGAGCGACGCCGCGUGU
rnacentral:rRNA from 1 species